rnacentral:rRNA from 1 species
UACGUAGGGGGCAAGCGUUGUCCGGAAUCAUUGGGCGUAAAGAGCGCGUAGGCGGCCCGGUAAGUCCGCUGUGAAAGUCAAAGGCUCAACCUUUGAAUGUCAGCGGAUACUGCCGGGCUAGAGUCCGGAAGAGGCGAGUGGAACUCCUGGUGUAGCGGUGGAAUGCGCAGAUAUCAGGAAGAACACCAACGGCGAAGGCAGCUCGCUGGGACGGUAUUGACGCUAAGGCGCGAAAGCGUGGGGAGCAAACAGG